UCGGACGUGGUGCAAGGUGCAUACCCGCGCUUCUUGCCAGAGCACAUUUUAGGCGGGAGACCUGGGUUCGACUCCCAGCAUCCGAA